CCUACGGGUGGCAGCAGUGGGGAAUAUUGCACAAUGGGGGAAACCCUGAUGCAGCGACGCCGCGUGAGUGAAGAAGUAAUUCGUUACGUAAAGCUCUAUCAGCAGGGAAGAAAUACUGACCUUACGAUCAGCAGACGGUACCUGAGUAAGAAGCCCCGGCUAACUACGUGCCAGCAGCCGCGGGAAUACGGAGGGGGCAAGCGUUAUCCGGAUUUACUGUGUGUAAAGGGAGCGUAGACGGUGAGCCAAGGCUGGAGUGAAAUGCCGGAGCUUAACUGCGGAACUGCUUUGGAAACUGGCGAACUAGAGUGCGGGAGGGGUAAGCGGAAUUCCUGGUGUAGCGGUGAAAUGCGUAGAUAUUAGGAGGAACACCGGUGGCGAAGGCGGCUUACUGGACCGUAACUGACGUUGAGGCUCGAAAGUGUGGGGAGCAAACAGGAUUAGAUACCCGGGUAGUC
rnacentral:rRNA from 1 species